rnacentral:sRNA from 1 species
UCAGAUUUGGGACAAUCAACGCUUACUUCCCGCGU